GAGAGAGCUGGCGUUACCCCCGGGCCGAGGCUACUGGGAUCCGGCCAAGGCCGGCCUCUGUGCCCAAAGGACCCCGGUCAGAGGGAGAUAAGUACGGCUUCCGCCCUCGGACAACUCCUGGUGGCAGUGUGGGGAGAGACGAUGAGGACAUACACAACUCUCCUUCCGAGGACCUGCGAACAGGGUUGGUUUGUUUGUUCCAGUUCUGGGCAUGGAAUUGAAGGCCUUGUGCAUGCUAAGCAAACACUUUACUCCAGAGCCAUAUCCCCAGCCCCACUACAUCUCUUAAACCAGGACUUGUGGACUCCAGGGGGUUAUGGACAUCUCAGAGGUUCAUAAAUCCUGUAAGAAUUUUUAAAGGGCUGGAGACAGUUCAGUGGUAGAGCACUUGCCUAUCAUGUGCAAGGCUUUGGAUUUAAACUAACAUCACAGCACAAUUUUUAAAAUUGUUUUUAAAGAAUAAAAAGUUUUUCAAGUCAGACUGGGAAAGUUGUCUGAGGACCUGAGUGGGGAGAAAGAAUUGCUUGUCUUAAUUUAAAAGUCACCUCUACACUGUUCAGGAUUAAGAGAGUGCCCUGCGGCUCCUCCUCCAUCCUAAGGGGAUGGGUAGGUGACGGUUGCACUUGUCCUAGGCUGAGGGGUCUGUUUCCUGUGUGGAUCCUUCUUCCCCACUUAAAGGGGAAGCACUUUGAGUUGGGAGUUUUCCCAGGAGGCUGGAAGACUGUGGAGCUGCCCUUGGCCGGCAUAGCACCAAGGCGGAUAGGAGACUGAGGUGUGCCCCCAGAGUCCUGGCAUUUCCUUCCCUCUCUACCUUUCAUUCCGUGCCCGCCCCUGUGCUCUAGAAUGGAGCUCAACAAUUCUUUGAAAUCAAAAUGCGUGAAUGAAAUGCAAGGGGUGAAACCCAUAGACUCUGUCUGAGGCUGGGAAAGUCACAGCCAAGGUGUUAAGUAACCACUCUUCAAACGAGGAGGAAAUCGAAUCUGGCUGGAGCAGCAGCUCCUGGCUUUCCUUCUGAAGGUUCAGUUGCUCCCACAGGAAGUGAGGGCGGGGCCUGCCCUAGCUCCUGUUACAGGCAGCAGGCAGCCCAUGAGCUCGAUGUCCUGUGGCUCUCCAAGACCUAAACCCGGUGGAAAGUUUCACCUUGAGGAAGAAAAAUUUCCACUCCUCCUUCCAGGCCCCUGAGGGAGUGUGCAGCAGACAUCCGGGAACGUCCCCGGGGACAGCCGUCUGCUGGCCCAGCCAGCUGCUGGCCUCCUCCUCCUUAUGUCCUGUACCCUCCCUGAGAGGUGCUUGGGAAUAUUGGGAGGGAGGCUCUCAGAGGCCCCCCUGACUGCUUGCCCAACAUUUGGACUGAGCAACAGAGAUAAUACAUCUCUUUCCUUUAAAGAUAAGGAAAUUCUACACCAUCGUGAAAUGUCUUUCUUACAUAUUAAAUUUGACUUUUCUGUCCAGCUUCUUCAGUGAGAUAUUGUAGAAAGGAAGUUCAAGGUAGAAAAAAGAAUCCAAGAAGCAGGGCUCCCUCUCUUUCUCUCCUGUCUCUGCAAGGAGAGGAAAGCAUUCCUUUCCACCUUUUAUCUAAGGAUCACUUAGUAGAUGGCCCCUCAAAACUCCCUGGCUACCCAACUACAAUGAUGUUGCCCUUUUACCUCAACUCUUUCAGAAACAGACAGAUCUGACCCAAGGCUCUGUGAGUCCCUCUUGAUCCCAGUGGCCACAGAGAUGUCACUAUCAGAUUCACAGGCAGACUGGAGGUGCAUGUUAGUCUCAGACAGGCUAAUCCCUACAGUCUUCCUUUUGAUUCCAGACCCUUGUGAAGGUUAAUCUUGAUUGUGUUAAUGUGAUUGACUUUGGGAUCCACCCAGGCGAUUGGUGAGCACACUUCUGGGUAUCCCUGGGUGGGUCACAGAGGUGUAGCUUUGGGCGUCUAUGUUUGGUUUCUGGCCUCUUCCUCUCGGGCAGGCUGUUUCCCCGCACUGCUUCCCAGUUGGCAUGAACUAAGCAGCUUUGCUCCUCCAUGAUGUUCCUGCUUUGGAGCCAGCUGACCAGAGACAAUCCCCUUAAAACGUGAGCCAAAUUAAACUUUUCCCCCUUUAAAUUUGGCCAUCAGGUAUUAUGUCCAUCAACAGGGAAACUGAUGAAUACAAAUACAUUGUGAGGGGAUUUUAUUUUUUCUGGAAGCAGGUUUAAUUCAAUCGAUUUAAUUGAAUCCUACGUUUGGCUCAAGGUGAUGAACCCAUGAGUUUGUCUUCUCUGAAAAUUCUCUGAGGUUGGAGGACCCCUGUGACCAGGGAGCACAUGGAGAAGCAGCACAUGAGCCAGGAGAGCAGCAGUAUUGAGACAAAGGUAGGGCUGCCUUUCCCACUGGAAACCCUGGAGGACCCUGGGAGCAUCCUGGGGGAAGCCGAGUGGGAGCAAGAAGACAGGAGGACAAGAAGAGAAACAGCGAGUGGGCUGCAGGGAAGGAGCCAGCCAGCGAGGCGCACAUGCAUCACAGAGCGAGCUGUAAGUAAAUAGCACCCGUAACCCCGCUCACGGAGGCGGCAGGGCCCUUAUUGAGCAUCUGGCCCUGCCCUUUCCCUUAACAGUUGAGGCACCUAAGAUGCGUUACCAGUCAGCGGCAAGGCUGUGCCUGGAGCUCACAUCUUUCAGACACCCCAGGGUCAGCAUACCCAUCUGGAACUGUGGGACUACGGCCCCUAGGAAGGAGCUUCUGAUUUAAAUUGGAGUCAGGGAAAUAGAAAACUUCCCAUGAUUUGCCUUACCGGCCACUCAAGUACCUCCUUCAAUCCCUGAAGGAAUUCACUUUCUUGUACAUAUUAGAGUAAUAAUCCCAUUUAUUGGGCACCUACGGUGUGCCAAGGUCUUUUACAUGUAUUUUUUCAACCUUCACAAAUUUAUUUUCAUUUUUCAGAUGAGGAGACUGAGGUUCAGAGACAUUAAAGAGUGACUCCAAAUAAGUACAGCUCAUGAGGGUCAUAGCUGGUCCUCAGACAACCCGUGUCUGACUCGAGACAUUGUCUUUUUGUCUUGAACAAGAGAGGACAGCGCGGCCCCUCUUGAGCAGGUCUCACCGGAAGCCUAAGAUGCUGUGCCCAAGUGGAGAGAAGCAGGAGAAGCCUUUUCUGGGGCAUCAGGGCAGUGGCACAAUGCCAGGACUGUGGAAUGCUUGUGAGCCAC